CGUGCGAAGGUAGCAUAAUCAUUAGUCUUUUAAUUGGAGGCUUGUAUGAAUGGUUGGACAAAAAGUAAGCUGUCUCGAUUAUAAUAAUUGAACUUAACUUUUAAGUGAAAAGGCUUAAAUGUUUCAGGGGACGAUAAGACCCUAUAAAGCUUGACAAUAACUUCGUUAUAUUAUAAAUUGUUAGUAUAACUUGAUUUUAACGGGGGUUUGUUUCGUUGGGGCGACGGGAAUAUAAUAAAUAACUGUUCUUUUAAAUAUAAUUACAAAAAUGUUUGGUAAAUAAUUGAUCCUCUAUUAGAGAUUAAAAGAUUAAGUUACUUUAGGGAUAACAGCGUAAUCUUCUUUGAGAGUCCACAUCGACAAGAAGGUUUGCGACCUCGAUGUUGAAUUAAGGUAUCCUUAUAAUGCAGCAG
rnacentral:rRNA from 1 species